UGGCCUUGCCCUUAGUGAACAAAGUCUCUGGGAAAUGAACUUCCCAUACAUUGAAGGUGGUUUGUUGGGAAGGAGAGAGCACGAACCUGAAAUGGAUGAAUAUUUCACAGGAGGAAAACCAGUUGGGUCUGGUGAAGACUCUGGGAGUUCAGGGUUGGUAGUCUUGUCUCCUGCCCCUUCUCCACCUGAAAAAUUUGUCAGAUGCCGAAGCACAAAUCCCUGACGUCUCCUGUAAGCACUGGAUCACCUGUCCUGAAGAGAACAUUCCCUAUCGUUGAGCUCUGGCUUCCCCAUCCGUGGUUGUGACUGCUGAACUUUGAAAACACAAUAUUCAAAUGAUGAUGGCAUGCAUCAUCUGUGAAGAAAAUAAAUCACUUACCUAA